rnacentral:lncRNA from 1 species
UUGGGAUACGAGGUAGGCUACACUAGCGCAAAUUAAAAUUUUCUACCGCGUAAACCAGGAAAACUGCCGUAUAAGGAUCACGGGAUUACCACUCGACGCACUACUGGUGCGGAAGAUGUAGAUUCGCGUCGAUGUAGCGAAGUCGAUCAACGUAGUCGUACGUAGUCGAUCACGUUGAUGUCCAGCAGCUCCUCAGCCGCUCGUCCACGUGCAGCAAGAU